rnacentral:lncRNA from 12 species
CCCCCCCCCCCCCCCCCCCCCCCCCCCCCCCCCCCCCCCCCCCCCCCCCCCCCCCCCCCCCCCCCCCCCCCAGUAUGGACCAGUAUGGACCAGUAUGGACCAAUAUAAACUAGUUAGAAUCAAUAUGAACCAGUAUGGACCAGUAUGGACCAGUAUGGGCUAGUAUGGAUCAGUAUGGACCACUAUGGAUCAGUAUGGAUCAGUACGGAUCAGUAUGGACCAGUAUACACCGAUAUAAACUAGUUAGAACCAGUAUGGACCAGUAUGAAUCAGUAUGGACCAGUAUGGAUCAGUAUGGACCAGUAUGGAUCAGUAUGGACCAGUAUGGACAAGUAUAGACCGAUAUAAACUAGUUAGAACCAGCAUGGAUCAGCAUGAAUCAGUAUGGACCAGUACGGACCAAUAGAAACCAGUUACAACCAGUAUGAACCAGAACAAACUGGUUAAAACCGCUACAAAGCAGUAUGGACCAGUAUUUACCAGCAUGAACCAGCACAAACCAGUACAGGCCACUAUAGACCAGUAUGGACCAGUAUGGACCAAAAUAAACCAGGAACCCCAGCCAGGGUCCUGGCAUUGUCUCGGUGCUUCCCAGUCACUCCCAGUCCCUCCCAGUUCAAUCCCAGUCCCUCCCAGUCCAUUCCCAGUUGCUCCUAGUCCAUUCCAGGUUGCUCCCAGUCCCUCACAGUCUGUCCCAGCCCAUCCCAGUUUCCUCCCAGUCCGUUCCCAGUGCCCCCAGUCCGUUCCCAGUGCCCCCCAGUCCGUUCCCAGUCCCCCCCAGCCCGUUCCCAGUCCGUCCCAGUCCGCACCAGUGCUCUCGUCGGCAGCCAGGAUGCCCUUGCCGGGCGCCACGAUGCGCUGGGCGAUGGCCGCCAGCUCCUUCUUCUGCUCGGGGGUGAGCGCGGGCACGGGCGGGGACAUGCUGGGCUGCUGGGGACCGAGUGUCCGAGUGUCCGGAGGAGUGUCCGAGUGUCCGGAGUGUCCGGAGUGUCCGAGUGUCCGGGAGCUGCGGGAACGAGCCGGGAAUGAGCCGGGAAUGAGCCGGGAUUAAACUGGGAUAGAGCCGGGAAUGAGCCGGGAUUGAGCCGGGAAUGAGCCGGGAAUGAGCCGGGAUUAAACCGGGAUUGAGCCGGGAUUAAACCGGGAUUGAGCCGGGAUUGAGCCGGGAUUGAGCCGGGAAUGAGCCGGGAAUGAGCCGGGAAUGAGCCGGGAUUGAGCCGGGAAUGAGCCGGGAAUGAGCCGGGAAUGAGCCGGGAUUGAGCCGGGAAUGAGCCGGGAAUGAGCCGGGAAUGAGCCGGGAUUGAGCCGGGAAUGAGCCGGGAAUGAGCCGGGAAUGAAACCGGGAAGGAGCCGGGAUUAAACCGGGAUUGAGCCGGGA